rnacentral:lncRNA from 1 species
CUGAGAGAUAGGGUCUUGGAUGCAACCAAGAGAUGGCGCAGUCCUGGACUAGCAUGCGGUGCUUUCCUCACUAACUGCUGGAAUCCAUAAUAAAAGCAGAGGGAGCUCAGCCCUACGGAGAAGUUGAACCAAGUGGGCCGCUUCCCUGGGGCCGCUGGGGAGAGGCUCACCGAGGACUAGAUGGACAGCUUUGGAGAGACAGGAAAAAUCCAGAGACACGCCCGCCAGUAACGGGAAGCCUCAGUGUCAAGGCCACGGCACAUCUGGACUUCGAGGAGGAGGCAUUGAUCCUGAAGGAGCUGUAGGCAGCGAAAUAGGGAGUUCCCCCCUCCCUGCCCACUUCUUCCUUAGGGGUCCACACUGGGUUUUCCAGGGUCCCUGGGGUCCCAAGAGUCCCAGGAUAAAGCUGCAAAAAGCUGGUACUGGGCAAGGUCACAGCUGGGGGAGACCUCGCCUUCAUCCUCUGUGAUCACAACCCUGUUCCCGUUGCACUUGCCAGGUUGGCUGGAU